CAAGAAUAGUUACCUCAUCCGGUCAUGUGACACUUGUUAUUUAUACAUUUUUCGCUCACACCAGAUGUCUGGACCCUGGACAGAUAACAGAAGGAGAGAGGGACCCUAGGAGGGACGUAAAGGAGUUGAUGAAAUCCUGUUAAGACAGACAAUCAGAUGGUAUGGCCUCUGAGGACCCCCAAGACCAACUGGAUGAGGCUAUUAAAAAGGCAGAACGCCUUGCUGAGGAG